GUUCAACCGAAGACAAAGAAUUUACAUCGGACGAGAAAGAGUUGGUUGUCACAAUGGGUUUUGGUGAUUUUACUGUGGUUAUUGAGCCACACCAACCCGUGUAUUUCAGUGAACAAGUUGUGCAAGGUUAUGUUAAAGUUGUUUUAGAAGAACCAGUUCCUUGUAGAGGUAUUAAAGUGACGUGCAAAGGUGUAGGCAAAGUGUCGUGGUCUGAAAAACGUGGAAAGACAAGAGUAACAUAUUCUGCAUCAGAAGAAUAUUUCCGUGAAACCCUUGACAUUUGGUCUGGUGAUGACACGGAUGAGACGUUCCCUGCUGGCGAACACACAUUCCCCUUCGCCUUCCAGAUCCCUAAGGACAUCCCAUCCUCUUUUGAGUCGGAGAUUGGCAAAGUGAGGUAUCAGGUCAAGGCUGUGGCUGACAGACCGUGGCAGAUUGAUGACUCAUCCAAAGCAGUUUUUUCAGUCAACCACCUCUAUGAUCUGAGUUCUGACAGCAGUGCAUUGUUACCAAUAAACAAUGAACGAGAAAAAUCCAUUCGUUGCUGCUGUGUCAGGUGGGGACCCAUCUCACUGACACUGGGGGUAGAGAGGAGAGGCUACGUUGGAGGGGAGAAUUUGGUUAUCAAUGGGGAGAUUGUGAACAACAGUGGGUCCACCAUCAAGUACACUGAGGCCAAAAUUGUACAGAACAUCAGCUACAUCACCAACUCCAAAAUAAAGACAGUAUGCCACACAGUGCAACGCGUCUACCGCCCACAGAUUCAGAAUGGGGGAACUGAUGAGUGGUCAGGUGUUGCUCUCCCUGUGCCUGCAGUCACAGCCAGCCAUCUCAUGCACUGUAACAUCAUUGAUGUGAAGUAUUUGUUGAUUGCACAAUUGUCGCUUCUGAUACAUCUGUUGAGGCUGGCGGCACAGUCCUAGCUAGCACCAUAAGCGAUGGAAACUCCCCAAGUUUUGUGCAGUCUAGCCAUCCAGGUCAAGGAAGGCAUGGUGAUAAUCCUCCUUCGUACAACAGGAUCGUGAUGCCUGAGGAGUAUGCAAAUAUCCCCCCACCUUCCUAUGAGUCCUGCAUCUUUGGUGGUGGACAGCAGAGUAUGUUUGAUAAUGACAGCGACAAUGAUGAGGGUGGCUUUGCCCCACAUUACAUCACAUACAGAAGAAACUGAACAAAUUUUCACACUAUAGG
rnacentral:misc_RNA from 1 species